rnacentral:rRNA from 1 species
ACCUACCAGACCUUUCUGGGAGAGUGGAAUUGGACGCUGUCGCCGACGCGACUCGUCUGGAAAGCCUCAGUGUACCCCGCUCGUCGGCGUGACAGUGUGAUAAGUAUCUUCACUGGUUGCCUCUCCGAGGCGCGYCGUGUGGUGGGCUUCUACGCUUCCAACCGUCUUCGGACAAUGACUGACAAUUUGACCUCAAAUCGGGUGGGACUACCCGCUGAACUUAAGCAUAUCAAUAAGCGGAGGAAAAGAAACUAACAAGGAUUCCCCUAGUAACGGCGAGUGAAGAGGGAAAAGCUCAAAUUUUGAAUCUGGCGUCUUUGGCGUCCGAGUUGUAAUCUAGAGAAGUGUUUUCCGUGUCGGACCGUGCAUAAGUUCCCUGGAACGGGGCGUCAUAGAGGGUGAGAAUCCCGUAUAUGGCACGGACUCCCGGUGCUCUGUGAUACACUCUCAACGAGUCGAGUUGUUUGGGAAUGCAGCUCAAAAUGGGUGGUAAAUUCCAUCUAAAGCUAAAUAUUGGCGAGAGACCGAUAGCGAACAAGUACCGUGAGGGAAAGAUGAAAAGCACUUUGGAAAGAGAGUGAAACAGUACGUGAAAUUGUUGAAAGGGAAGCGUUUGAAGUCAGUCGCGUCUGUCGGGGUUCAGCCUUGCUUCUGCUUGGUGUACUUCCCGGCCGACGGGUCAGCAUCAGUUUUGGCCGAGAGAAAAGGGCUUGGGGAACGUGGCUGUCUUCGGGCAGUGUUAUAGCCUCUUGUCAUAUGUCUCGGCCGGGACUGAGGACUGCAGCGCGCCUUAUGGCCGGGGUUCGCGCCCUCGGUACGCGCUUAGGAUGCUGGCAUAAUGGCUUUAAG